GGCUUACAAAAGUGAGGAGGGCAUGUACUGGUUCACAUGAUGAGGACAGGACAGGCAGGGUCAGCGCGCCCUAGAUGCACUCUGCGUUUGCUGAACUGCUUACCUGCUCACUUGUACCUGCUCAUGAGCUGCCAAACAUGGGGGUUCCCACUGCUGACGAGGGUGUGGACUCCCAUGGAAGAUGGAAGUGCCCCAAGAAACUAGGGUACCCACAGUCAGGUGGAAUGAGUAGCUCUUCAUCUAAGGACCUGAGUACUGGAACACCCACGGCCCUCCAUCUUCAUUCGAGGACCUUUGAGGGGCGCCUGGCGGCUCCGUCGUUGGAACAUCUGCCUUCGGUUCAGGUCAUGAUCCCGAAGUCCUGGGAUGGAGUCCCACGUUGGGCUCCCUGUUCAGCGGGAAGCCUGUUUCUCCCUCUG